GACGAACGCUGGCGGCGUGCUUAACACAUGCAAGUCGAACGGAAAGGCCCCAGCUUGCUGGGGUACUCGAGUGGCGAACGGGUGAGUAACACGUGGGUGAUCUGCCUUUCACUGUGGGAUAAGCUUGGGGAACUGGGUCUAAUACCGGGGAUGAACUGCCGUUAGGGAGGGGGUUGGAAAGAUUUUUCGUUUCUAGAUGAGCUCGCGGCCUAUCAGCUUGGUGGUGGGGUAAUGGCCUACCAAGGCGUCGCCGGGUAGCCGGCCUGAGGGGGUGUACGGCCACACUGGGACUGACAUACGGCCCAGACUCCUACGGGAGGCAGCAGUGGGGAAUCUUGCACAAUGGGCGGCAGCCUGAUGCAGCGACUCCGCGUGGGGGAUGACGGCCUUCGGGUUGUAAACUCCUUUCGACAGGGACGAAGCUUUUUGUGACGGUACCUGUAUAAGAAGCACCGGCUAACUACGUG
rnacentral:rRNA from 1 species